CUCCAAUAGCGUAUAUUAAAGUUGUUGCGGUUAAAAAGCUCGUAGUUGGAUCUGUGUCCCGCGCCGUCGGUUCACCGCCUGUCGGUGUUAAACUGGCGUGUAUGCGGGACGUCCUGUCGGUGGUGGAACGGGGCUUCGCAAACCGUAGGGGUGUCCAGGUCUCCUGCGACUCCCCGAAGGCUGGCGUGAGCUUCCGGCCACCUUGUCAAUCCCGCCGCGGUGCUCUUCACCGAGUGUCGAGGCGGGCCGGCACGUUUACUUUGAACAAAUUAGAGUGCUUUAAGCAGGCUCUUUCCCGCCUGCAUAUUGUGUGCAUGGAAUAAUGGAAUAGGACCUCGGUUCUAUUUUGUUGGUUUCCGGAAUCUGAGGUAAUGAUCAAUGGGGACAGGCGGGGGCAUUCGUAUUGCGACGUUAGAGGUGAAAUUCUUGGAUCGUCGCAAGACGGACCGAAGCGAAAGCAUUUGCCAAGUAUGUUCUCGUCGAUCAAGAACGAAAGUUAGAGGUUCGAAGGCGAUCAGAUACCGCCCUAGUUCUAACCAUAAACUAUGCCUGCCAGCGAUCCGCCGGCGUUCCUCCGAUGACCCGGCGGGCAGCUUCCGGGAAACCAGAGCUUUUGGGUUCCGGGGGAAGUAUGGUUGCAAAGCUGAAACUUAAAGGAAUUGACGGAAGGGCACCACCAGGAGUGGAGCCUGCGGCUUUAAUUUGACUCAACACGGGAAAACUCACCAGGCCCGGACACCGGAAGGAUUGACAGAUUGAGAGCUCUUUCUUGAUUCGGUGGGUGGUGGUGCAUGGCCGUUCUUAGUUGGUGGAGCGAUUUGUCUGGUUAAUUCCGAUAACGAACGAGACUCUAGCCUACUAACUAGACGUUUCCGGUAUCCACAAUCGUGCUACCGGCGAGUAUAUUUCUUCUUAGAGGGACAGGCGGCUUCUAGCCGCACGAGACUGAGCAAUAACAGGUCUGUGAUGCCCUUAGAUGUCCUGGGCCGCACGCGCGCUACACUGAAGGAAUCAGCGUGUCUUCCCUGUCCGAAAGGACCGGGUAACCCGCUGAACCUCCUUCGUGCUAGGGAUUGGGGCUUGCAAUUGUUCCCCAUGAACGAGGAAUUCCCAGUAAGCGCGAGUCAUAAGCUCGCGUUGAUUACGUCCCUGCCCUUUGUACACACCGCCCGUCGCUACUACCGAUUGAAUGAUUUAGUGAGGUCUUCGGACUGGUGCGCGAAGGUGGCUUCGGCUGCUUUCGAUGUUGUCGGAAAGAUGACCAAACUUGAUCAUUUAGAGGAAGUAAAAGUCGUAACAAGGUUUCGA
rnacentral:rRNA from 1 species